rnacentral:rRNA from 1 species
UACCAGCUCUCCGAGUGGUAGGGAUGAUUAUUGGGCUUAAAGCGUCCGUAGCCGGCUUAGCAAGUCUCCUGUUAAAUUCAGCGACCUAAUCGUUGAGCCGCGGGAGAUACUACUAGGCUAGGAGGCGGGAGAGGUCAACGGUACUUCCGGAGUAGGGGUGAAAUCCUAUAAUCCCGGGAGGACCACCAGUGGCGAAGGCUGUUGACUAGAACGCGCUCGACGGUGAGGGACGAAAGCUGGGGGAGCGAACCGGAUUAGAUACCCGGGUAGUCCCAGCUGUAAACGAUGCGAGCUAGGUGUUGGGGUGGCUACGUGCCACUUCAGUGCCGCAGGGAAGCCAUUAAGCUCGCCGCCUGGGGAUACGGCCGCAAGGCCGAAACUUAAAGGAAUUGGGCGGGGGAGCACCACAAGGCGUGAAGCUUGCGGUUC